AAGUGUGUGGCAGAGUGGUUAUUGCGUGACGUUCAGGGCUUCAUUUCGUUAACCGAUUCCCGGGAUCGAAACCCGGCACACAUA